rnacentral:rRNA from 1 species
AUUGAACGCUGGCGGCAGGCCUAACACAUGCAAGUCGAGCGGAUGAAGGGAGCUUGCUCCUGGAUUCAGCGGCGGACGGGUGAGUAAUGCCUAGGAAUCUGCCUGGUAGUGGGGGAUAACGUCCGGAAACGGGCGCUAAUACCGCAUACGUCCUGAGGGAGAAAGUGGGGGAUCUUCGGACCUCACGCUAUCAGAUGAGCCUAGGUCGGAUUAGCUAGUUGGUGGGGUAAAGGCCUACCAGGGCGACGAUCCGUAACUGGUCUGAGAGGAUGAUCAGUCACACUGGAACUGAGACACGGACCAGACUCCUACGGGAGGCAGCAGUGGGGAAUAUUGGACAAUGGGCGAAAGCCUGAUCCAACCAUGCCGCGUGUGUGAAGAAGGUCUUCGGAUUGUAAAGCACUUUAAGUUGGGAGGAAGGGCAGUAAGUUAAUACCUUGCUGUUGUGACGUUACCAACAGAAUAAGCACCGGCUAACUUCGUG